CAAUAGCGUAUAUUUAAGUUGUUGCAGUUAAAAAGCUCGUAGUUGGAUUUCGGGUGGGACGCAGCGGUCUCGCAUUGCGUUUGUACUGCUGCAGCCCUCCUUCUUGCCGGGGGCGGCCUCUCGGACUUCACUGUCUGGGGGUCAGAAUCGGCGAUGUUACUUUGAGUAAAUUAGAGUGUUCAAAGCAGGCGAUUGCUUGAAUACAUUAGCAUGGAAUAAUGGAAUAGGACUUUGGUUCUAUUUUGUUGGUUUCUAGGACCGAAGUAAUGAUUAAUAGGGACAGUUGGGGGCAUUAGUAUUUAAUUGUCAGAGGUGAAAUUCUUGGAUUUAUGAAAGACUAACUACUGCGAAAGCAUUUGCCAAGGAUGUUNUCAUUNA
rnacentral:rRNA from 1 species